ACGAACGCUGGCGGCGUGCUUAAUACAUGCAAGUUGUGCGAGAAAGUAUCCUUCGGGAUGCGAGUACAGCGGCGAACGGGUGAGUAACACGUAAGCAACCUGCCCCUAAAUCCGGGAUAACCCUGCCAACGCGGGGCUAAUACCGGAUGUGGUUGAAAGGUCGCAUGAUUUUUCAAUUAAAGGUGACCUCUUCUUGAAAGUUACUGUUUAGGGAUGGGCUUGCGGACCAUUAGCUUGUUGGUGAGGUAACGGCUCACCAAGGCUGCGAUGGUUAGCCGACCUGAGAGGGUGAUCGGCCACAUUGGGACUGAGAUACGGCCCAGACUCCUACGGGAGGCAGCAGUAGGGAAUUUUGCGCAAUGGACGAAAGUCUGACGCAGCAACGCCGCGUGAGGGAUGAAGGCCUUCGGGUUGUAAACCUCUGUUGAGUGAGAAGAAAAGCAUGCGGGAUAAUACUCCGCGUGUCUGACGGUAUCACUCGAGGAAGCCCCGGCUAACUACGUGCCAGCAGCCGCGGUAAUACGUAGGGGGCAAGCGUUGUUCGGAAUUACUGGGUGUAAAGGGAGCGUAGGUGGAAAGGUAAGUUAGGAGUGAAAGAUACGGGCUUAACCCGUAGUCCGCUUUUAAUACUGUCUUUCUUGAGUAUGGGAGAGGAUGACGGAAUUCCUGGUGUAGCGGUGGAAUGCGUAGAUAUCAGGAAGAACACCGGUUGCGAAGGCGGUCAUCUGGCCCAAUACUGACGCUGAGGCUCGAAAGCUGGGGGAGCGAACGGGAUUAGAUACCCUGGUAGUCCCAGCCGUAAACGAUGGACACUAGAUGCUGGAAGAGUCAAUCCUUUCAGUGUCGUAACUAACGCGUUAAGUGUCCCGCCUGGGGAGUACGCUCGCA
rnacentral:rRNA from 1 species